GGACUGCAUCAGGGGUCAGCUUUGAGCCCUUAUCUUUUUGCAUUGGUGAUGGAUGAGGUCACAAGGGGUAUACAAGUAGAUAUCCCAUGGUGUAUGCUCUUUGCGGAUGAUGUGGUGCUAUUUGACGAUAGUCGGACGGGGGUAAAUAGGAAGUUAGAGUUAUGGAGACAAACCUUGGAAUCGAAAGGGUUUAGGCUUAGUAGAACUAAAACCGAGUACAUGAUGUGCGGUUUCAAUACUACUAGCUGUGAGGAGGAGGAGGUUAGCCUUGAUGGCCAGGUGGUACCUCGGAAGGACACCUUUUGGUAUUUGGGGUCAAUGUUGCAGCAGGAUGGGGGUAUUGAUGAAGAUGUGAACCAUCGAAUCAAAGCCGGAUGGAUGAAGUGGCGCCAAGCUUCUGGCAUUCUCUGUGACAAGAGAGUGCCACAAAAGCUAAAAGGCAAGUUCUACAGGACGGCGGUUCGACCCGCAAUGUUGUAUGGCGCGGAGUGUUGGCCGACUAAAAGGCGACAUGUUCAACAGUUAGGUGUGGCGGAGAUGCGUAUGUUGAGAUGGAUGUGU
rnacentral:rRNA from 1 species